rnacentral:rRNA from 1 species
AGAGUUUGAUCCUGGCUCAGAACGAACGCUGGCGGCGUGUCUUAAGCAUGCAAGUCGUGCGGCAAGGGUAGCAAUACCCCUAGAGCGGCGGACUGGUGAGUAACGCGUGGGUGAUCUGCCCUUGGGUUGGGGAUAGCCACUAGAAAUAGUGGGUAAUACCGAAUACGUUCCUUCGACUUUGGUUGGGGGAGGAAAAGCGCUUCGGCGCUGCCCGAGGAUGAGCCCGCAUCCCAUUAGCUAGUUGGUGAGGUAAAGGCCCACCAAGGCGAUGAUGGGUAGGCGGCCUGAGAGGGUGUACGCCCACACUGGGACUGAGAUACGGCCCAGACUCCUACGGGAGGCAGCAGCUAAGAAUAUUCCGCAAUGGACGAAAGUCUGACGGAGCGACGCCGCGUGGAUGAAGAAGGCCGAAAGGUUGUAAAGUCCUUUUGUUGGGGAAGAAUAAGCGUGGGAGGGAAUGCCCGCGUGAUGACAUGAACCGACGAAUAAGCCCCGGCUAACUACGUGCCAGCAGCCGCGGUAACACGUAGGGGGCGAGCGUUGUUCGGAAUUACUGGGCGUAAAGGGCAUGUAGGCGGCCUGAUAAGCUUGGCGUGAAAGUCACCGGCUUAACCGGUGGAUUGCGUCGAGAACUGUUGGGCUUGAGUCAUGGAGAGGAAGGCAGAAUUCCUGGUGUAGGGGUGAAAUCUGUAGAGAUCAGGAAGAAUACCAGUGGCGAAGGCGGCCUUCUGGCCAAUGACUGACGCUGAGGUGCGAA